CGAGUGAAGCGGGAAAAGCUCAAAUUUAAAAUCUGGUGGUGGCCAUCCGAGUUGUAAUCUAGAGAAGUGUUACCCGCGUUGGACCGUGUACAAGUCUCCUGGAAUGGAGCGUCAUAGAGGGUGAGAAUCCCGUCUUUGACACGGACUACCAAGGCUUUGUGGUGCGCUCUCAACGAGUCGAGUUGUUUGGGAAUGCAGCUCAAAAUGGGUGGUAAAUUCCAUCUAAAGCUAAAUACAGGCGAGAGACCGAUAGCGAACAAGUACCGUGAGGGAAAGAUGAAAAGAACUUUGGAAAGAGAGUUAAACAGUACGUGAAAUUGCUGAAAGGGAAACGCUGGAAGUCAGUCGCGUUGGCUAGGAAUCAACCUUACUCUUUUGUAGGGCUUACUUCUUAGUUGACGGGCCAACAUCAAUUUUGAUUGCUGGAGAAAGGCUUAGGAAAUGUGGCACCUUCGGGUGUGUUAUAGUCCUAGGUUGUAUACAGUGGUUGGGAUUGAGGAACGCAGCACGCCGCAGGGUUGGGCUCUGACCACACUCGUGCUUCGGAUGUUGGCAUAAUGGCUUUCAUCGACCCGUCUUGAAACACGGACCAAGGAGUCUAACAUGCCUGCGAGUGUUUGAGUGGUAAACUCGAGCGCACAAUGAAAGUAAUAGUUGAGAUCUCUGUCAUGGAGAGCAUCGACGCCCGGACCUGAUGUUUACUGACGGUUCUGCGGUAGAGCAUGUAUGUUGGGACCCGAAAGAUGGUGAACUAUGCCUGAAUAGGGUGAAGCCAGAGGAAACUC
rnacentral:rRNA from 1 species